ensembl:lncRNA
CAGGACUAAACCAGUACUAAACCAGGACUAAACCAGGUCUAAACCAGGACUAAACCAGGACUAAACCAGGACUAAACCAGGACUAAACCAGGACUAAAUCAGGACUAAAUCAGGACUAAACCAGUACUAAACCAGGACUAAACCAGGUCUAAACCAGGACUAAACCAGGACUAAACCAGGACUAAACCAGGACUAAACCAGGUCUAAACCAGGACUAAACCAGGACUAAACCAGGACUAAACCAGGACUAAACCAGGACUAAACCAGGACUAAAUCAGGACUAAAUCAGGACUAAACCAGUACUAAACCAGGACUAAACCAGGACUAAACCAGGACUAAAUCAGGACUAAAUCAGGUCUAAACCAGGACUAAACCAGGACUAAAUCAGGACUAAAUCAGGACUAAACCAGGUCUAAACCAGGACUAAACCAGGUCUAAAUCAGGACUAAAACAGGACUAAACCAGGACUAAACCAGGACUAAACCAGGACUAAACCAGGACUAAACCAGGACUAAACCUGUACUAAACCAGGACUAAACCAGGUCUAAAC